CUUGGAAUGAAAUCGGCCAAACGGUUUAAUUCUGCGCAUUCUGUGUUAAUUAGUUCUAUUCAUUUGUUUGUUGUGAUAUAUCAAAUAUUGAUUAAAACGUCUCUUAUGUGCUAUUGUUUGAAUACAUUUAUAAUUUGAUUUAGACAAUAAGUAAAAAAAUUGCGGAAGUGAAUCGAUAUGUUUAGAGAACAUAUUGUAAACAAACAAGUGUCAGGUGAAACUUGUGAAUGAUCUGCAAUAUUAUCCAAUAUCGGGUUUCACCUGGAUUAUUAGAAGGAUUUUUCAAUCGAACGAUAAUAGAAAAAGCACUAGAGACGCGAUCUCAGGGUCUGAUUGCUUCGUAGGGUAAAAGUAAAGGUGAAAACGACUGAAAAACUUUAUACUCUAUUCUUGGACUGAGAACAUCCCAGACAACACACAGUGCUAUGAAGCUUGAGUAUUGUAGUACACAGUGGAUGCUGAAGAAACACAAAAGUAAAUAGAUCAGUGAUCUGAUUGAGAAGUAGCCACACAAGUGCAUAGGAAUUGAAUAUUGGGAAAUGUUGGAAGGCAGUUUUUAUCAUCUGCUUGAAUCCUUGCUUCCUCCCACCAAGUCCCCAACUGAUCAUCUAGUAAGUAUUAAAUCUUGC